CCUCCGUAGGUGAACCUGCGGAGGGAUCAUUACAGAGUUCAUGCCCUACCGGGUAGAUCUCCCACCCUAUGUUAUUAUUACUUUGUUGCUUUGGCGGGCCGUUAGGCUCCGGCCCGACUACCGGCCCCGGCUGGUAAGCGCCCGCCAGAGGACCCAAAACCCUGAAUAUUAGUGUCGUCUGAGUACUAUAUAAUAGUUAAAACUUUCAACAACGGAUCUCUUGGUUCUC
rnacentral:misc_RNA from 1 species